ACAAGCGGUGGAGCAUGUGGUUAAUUCGAAGCAACGCGAAGAACCUUACCAGGCCUUGACAUGCAGAGAACUUUCCAGAGAUGGAUUGGUGCCUUCGGGAACUCUGACACAGGUGCUGCAUGGCUGUCGUCAGCUCGUGUCGUGAGAUGUUGGGUUAAGUCCCGUAACGAGCGCAACCCUUGUCCUUAGUUACCAGCACGUUAUGGUGGGCACUCUAAGGAGACUGCCGGUGACAAACCGGAGGAAGGUGGGGAUGACGUCAAGUCAUCAUGGCCUUUACGGCCUGGGCUACACACGUGCUACAAUGGUCGGUACAAAGGGUUGCGAAGCCGUGAGGUGGAGCGAAUCUCAAAAAGCCGGCCUCAGUUCGGAUUGGAGGCUGCAACUCGCCUCCAUGAAGUCGGAAUCGCUAGUAACCGCAGAUCAGCUACGUUGCGGUGAAUACGUUCCCGGGCCUU
rnacentral:rRNA from 1 species